rnacentral:lncRNA from 1 species
ACCUGAUCCUGCAGGUUUCCCUGUUCACACCAGUGAGGGACUUGGAGUCUGUCCAGCGCUUCCAUGAACUCCGAGUGCAUCCUGCUGCUGCCCACAGGAAUUUUUGCUGUUUCUCUGCCAUGAGACAGAGUUUGGAGGCACUCGGGACCAUUGGACAAGCAGAGCAGCCAGGAUGAGUGGGAAAAGAAGAUGCUGAUUUUCCAGCUUCCAAACACCAAAAACUCGUUUACCUAAUAUUAUCUGGGAUCCUUAUCCUCAAAACUCUGUGGCUGUGAACAUGGACAUUGUGAAUUC